UGGUGCUGUUGUUUUCCCUCUCUUCUCUCUCCAUCCAGCUUUCAGGAAAAUUUGAAAGCUUGCCCACUACUUUCGUAUUUUGGUUUGUCCUAACAGUCCUGAGACAAGUUGAAGGAAGGCUAAUGAUUUGAGGUGGGUGGUUAAUGAUUCCUUCCUCAGCUAACAGGCUAGAAAGUAGCUGAAGAUCUUCCUUGAGUGCUCUGAAUGGGAGGGACGAAUGGGACUAGGGAGGUAACCGUUUUUUCUCUCCCUUUCCCUGCUGGGAGUGGCUCUGAUGGGUAGGGCUGAGAGGAAGAGAGAGAAAAAGGAAGGAAAGAAACAUAAAUGCAAGUGACAAAAGGCAAAUUGCUGAAGCAUCUUGGGGUGCCUCACUCUGGAAGUCUGAAAUGGGACAGUGGAUUUGCUGCUUGUAUGAAUGCUCUGCUUCUUCAUUUAUACAUCAAAUAUUACAAAACGUAGUGAUCUCCAAGUAAAGCCAGCCCCUGGAUAGUGCUGCCCCUCAAGCUUUGCACUGCCUAGGGAAGUGUGGCGAAACAGUGAGACUAAAGCGUACAAUGACAAUAAUUUGCUGCUGAAGUGCUAUCUUGAAACUACUUCGUAAUGAACCAUAUAAACUCCCCUGCAGUGUCCUUUCUGUGCAGGGAAAACAACCAAAAAUGAGCUGGCAAUGGAAACAAUAUUGCAAGGUCAGCAGGUUUUACAAUAAAUGCUGCAACAUAACAUUCUUCCCACCUUUUCCCUGAUUUAGAAAUAAGACUCAAUUUUCUGUGCCAUAAGGGACUGGUUUUGGGGAACUAAGGAAGCUGCCUUGUUGAGAAUCGGGUGAUCUGUCAAUCUAGCAGAGUGUUCUCUACACUGACUGACAGUGACUCUCCAUUGUUUCAGACCAGAAUCUUUUUCCAGAUUUACUUGGAGAUACCAGUUCAUUUUCCAAAGCUGCAGUUGUAGAUCGACAGCACCACCUUCUGGCCAAAUUGUAUUCAUUGUUAGAUACAAGGUAGUCUGUAACCAAUUUCUUUGAACUAGCAAGUCUUUAAAACAAGGUUUUGGGGAAAAUAUAAAUUUAGUAAGAAAAUCACUUACACUGUACUAAUAGGCGACUAUUUUGGAGGGUGGAAGGGAAGGGUUUUCUGCAAAGCAUUACUCCUUUCCCCCAAUUCCCCCGCUGGUGGUUUUUAAAACUGGCUGCUUUGCCAUACAAGGAGUAAUGGAGUGUAAUGAUGUUAAUUUAUAUAAUUAUAUCUUUAAAAGUUUGCAGAAUGGUAAACAGCAUCCUUCAGUACUCAAAAGAAAUAUGUAUAAGACUACAUGGGUGUAGAAAUGAAUUGAUAUUAAAGAUUCUGACCAUAUCAGUGGGAUGAUGGGGCAGCAAGGGUGCCAUCACUUUCCUAUGAAUCUCAUGUACAGUAGAUAACUAUUGGGUUUAGGCCAAAGGCAGAGUUCCCUUUGAGGAAUGACUAGAAAAGACACCAUCUGCUCCAGGAUCCUAUUCCUCCUAGAACUUAGUGCACACUGUUUCCACUCCAGUCUGACCCAACAGAACUUCUAAGAACCUACAGCAAGUUUUCAAAAUACUUGGUACACACGCCUCUAUCUCGUUGUUCUUGCGUCUUGCCCCGAGCAAAUGGCACAAAAGCUAGCAGAGUUAUUAUGAUUCACAGCUACAAUCUAGAGAAAGUGGAGUGCACUUUUCAAUUUUUUAAAUAGUAUUUUAUUAAAUGUUUUAAAAUGUGUGUGUGUGUAUGUGCAUGAACACACACGCAUAUACAGACUUAGUUCAAUAUUUUCUACAAUAAAUUGACUCUAUUAAUCAGAUCUGUAGAUGUGGUUUAUUAAUUUAACUGAUUC